GUUGAGCCUUUAAGCAGUCAAUAAACAAAAAGUAAACAUUUAUUUAAAAUGCAUAAGAAGCAUGUCUAUGCACUGUACAGAUGGUCACUUGUCACCUUACAUUAGAAAUGAGAGUAGGAUAAAAGUCAGCACAUGAACUGGUCAGCUAAGAUGCUGGCAAGACUUUGAGAUGAUCUCACCUCUGGCACAAGGACAGAUGUUCAAAACCAGGAAGGCUCUCCUGAAUGGCAAACAAUACAUUCCUCUUAAUUAUACAUCAGUAGUCUCCAAGUUCAACUUCCUUUCCUCUCUACUAAGACCAUGCUAGCUACAUGACCACAAUGCAUUAAAGCAAAGGAAGAAAGGGCAAACACUUAAAUGAUGAUGGAGAAAUGUUACCUCUGAAAAUAACUAUGCCAACAAUAUAGAGACAACACCUAAAACUAUCCUAUGGUACUAGAACGAAAUAACAUAGCAACAAACUAGGUGAAAUGAACUAGCCUGCAAUACCAGUAUUUGGGAAGCUGAGGUGCGAAGAUUGAUCUUGAAGCUUAAAAAAAAAAAAAAAAAAAAAAAAGAGGGAGAAAGAAGGAACAAUAAAGAGGGGAGUUGAGAGAGGGAAGAAGAAAAGAAGGGAGGAAAGAUGGGGGGAAAUACCAGUUUGGUUUCUGUUGCUGUGAUGAAGCACUAACCAACAGCAACUUGGGAGUAGAAGAGUUCAGUUCACCUUAUACUGAGGAAAGAGCUCAGGGAAAGAACCUGGAGGCAGGAGCAGAAGCUGAGACCAUGGAGGAAGUAAGUACACUGCUUACUGUCUUCUUCCCUUGGCUUCCUCAGCCUGCUCAUACAUCCAGGACCACCUGCCCAGGGGUGGCAUCUCUCAAGAGAACUGGGCAUUCCCACGUCAAUCAUUAACCAGAAAAUGCUCCAAAGGCAUGCCCACAAGCCAAUUUGAUUGAGAGGUAGUUCCUCAAUUGAGGUUUCCUUUUCUCAGGUGACUCUACUUUGUUAAGAUGGGAGAGGAAAGAAAAAGACUACAUAUAUAUGUAUGUGUAUUAAAAAAAAAAAUCAACCUCCCCACUCACCUCUGAUUAAGUCAACAUCAAUCAAGUCUGGUUUUAUAUGGCCCAUUUUUUUUGGUUUGUUUUUGAAACCCUAUGAUAAAACGAAACAAUAACAGAAAUGAGCCAAGAAAACACAGUUCUUUCAAGAGUAAAAGAUAAAACUUCUUUUUGGUGUGAUAGCCAAGCCUGUGAGGUGCAUCAGAGGUACUGCUGCUGUCUGGUCUCCUAAUCUGAGCACUCUUUACAGAGUCCCAUUCUUUGGGGAAACUCAAGCCAUGCACUGUAAUUACCUUCUCUUGUGCACAAUGUCAUCAGUUUUUAAUUUAUCAGAGUAGAGCUUAAAAACUUAGGGCUUCAUAAUAGGAUAGUUAAGCUUGGGCCCCUCCAUUACAAAAAUCAAGUGUCAAUACUCAAAAGUGUUUUUUCUGGAGUCUCAAGGAAUCCUCCAAAAUUCUCCUUGCUUGAGAGUUAUGGGCUGGGCAAUUCUGGGUGGGAGUUUGCAGAUUAAGCUAAAGAGUUUUAUUAUCUUGCUUUGUAGUGAACUUCUCCUGGAGCCUCUUCAAUACAUUUUAUCCAAGGCCCAGAGUUCAUCUUUGUCUUGGACAAAACAAGAUGCCUCCACAGUCUCAGACUCUCAGGAAACCUGUGGGUAAGCUAGCUGUCCACUCAGUAUUCUCCUGAGACCCAAUUUAUAUCUAUAAGGAAUUUUAUCUAAGAGGUUCCUCUUAAGUCCUAUUUCUUAAUAUUGUGAUGUAUCCAUUUAAUAAAAUCCAUUUAUGCAUUCACUUUAUGUAAUUUAGCCAUGAACAUCUUUUCAGAGAACAAAAAACAAAACUGUUCUAGGACUUGGUCUUUAUUAUUUCAUAUUAAGUAGCUUAAUCAGCCAUGUUAUUCAAUGCAAGAAUUCUAGAGUAGUUGCAACCUCAAGUUUCCAAUGGUUCACUGUUACUUCAGAGAGGUGGCAUUUCCUGUUUUCUCAGGUUGUUAGAGGAAAACUGAGAAUCUGAAAAUCACAAUAACCUUGCCAUAUAGUAAGUAUAUAUUUGUGAAUUAUCUUUUGAUUUUAUUCCAAACUUUUGGUUUGUCAAACACUUAUUGCUAUUAAUUUUGUAAGAAAGAAAUUUAAGGUAGAAUGAUGGUUCAGUGGAUAAAACAUUUGCCACUCGAGUGAGAGGACCUGAUUCUCAUCCCUAGAACCCAUAAAAAGCCAGACCCAUAUCACACCUUUAUAACCCCAGCACUCCUGUGGUGAUGUAGGAGGCAGAAGCAAGAGAAUCCUCAGCUUACAGACCAGGUGUUGGGCAUACAAAUGCCUAACAAGAAACCCUGUCUCAGACAGUGAAAAGCAAGGGAUGAUACUUAAAGUUGUCCACAAACAUGCUGUGGUACACAGAGACCACACUCACACAAAUACAUGUAUGCUGCAUGUGUCAUAUAUACAUUAUGGGGAGGGGGGAGAGAUGACCUCAGAGGUUAUGAGUAUUUGCUGCCCUUCCAAGCAACCAGGCUUUAGUUACCAGCACAUACAUGGCAGCUAACAACCAUCCAUUCCUCCAAUUCCAGGGAAUCCAGCAUUCUCUUGUAGUCUCCAAGGAUAGCCAUGCAUGUCAUUUAUAGACAUAUAUUCAGGCAUGACACUUGUCUUAGUUAAGGUUUUACUGCUGUGAAGUGACACCAUGACCACAAUAACUCUUAUAAAGAAAAACACUUAAUUAGAGCUAGUUUACAGUUUCAGAAGUUUAGUCUGUUAUUAUCCUGGUGGUAUGCAGACAGACAUGGUACUAGAGAAGGAGAUGAGAGUUCUACAUCUUCAUCUGAAGGCAGCAGGAAGUGAAUGAGUCAUACUUCCUCCAACAAAGCCACACCUACUCCAACAAGAAUACACCUCCUAAAAGUGGCAUUCUCUAUAGGCCUAUUAGGGUCAUCUUUACUCAUAAACAAAAUAAAACUUAAAAGUGAGAAAAAGAUGAAUUUUAACUUCUGCUCAACCAUCAAAGUUAGUGUAAAAGGUUAAUAGCAUGUUUGCUCUGCAACAAGAUGACCUGAGUUUGACUCUCUAGGUCCCACAUAAAAAGCUAGGCAGUGCCUGUAACCCCAGCAUUAAGAGGGAGACAGACUCCCAGAGCUCAAUAGCAAAGGUCUAUAUAACAAGGUUCCAAUACAAUGAGAGACCUUCUCUCAAGAUAAGUCAGAGAAGGAGAGCAAGACACCUAAAUUCCUACUGGGAACUCCUGAUGCACACCCAGGGACCCCACAGCUAAAGAAACCAAAGCCCAGAGAUCCAAACCAAGUUAGCCUCAGUCUUAAUCAUUACAUAUCCUGUGUCUAAUACAUGGAACCAAAUGCAUCCCACAGCAAAAAGGAGAUUUUGUUGGAGAUGAAACAAUAUGGCUUGACCUUGAAAGCUUCAAUGAAUAAACCCUGGGAACUGUAUGUGAUUUCCUCAUUGGUUGCAUGCAAUCUCUAUCCUCAUAGGUAAAGACUGAGGAAGGAAGUGAGACACUUCUGCAUCCAUUGCCUGUGUGGCAGCCUGCACCCUCCCACAGUAAGCCCUAACAAAAGCCCUAACUGUGAUACCAUGUCACUAGUUUGAAAGCACCUUACAAAAACUACAAAAACCCUGGACAGGUUACUGCAAUUGGGACACAACCCCUGACUUAUCACCUAAAGGAGGGAACAAAACACUGGUCAAACUGCCACCAUAUGGAUGUACUGUAUAUGUACUAGUGAAUAAAAGAAACAAGUGAAGCUCUGAAAUUCCUACGUGCUCAAUUUUCAUUUUAUUGCCACUAAAAGAAUAAACCUACAAUAAAGUCUGGGACAAAGGGGGAAGCAACCUUUGACUCCUUAGUGUACACUGUGCUAUGGUUUGGAUCUAAGAUGCUUCCCCAUGAGCUUAACAUUUUUUCACCUGUUAGUGGUGACAGGGCAGGGGUUAGGGGGAUGGAAACUUUAGGAGGUGAGGCUUCAAUGUAGUAAGUCAGUCUCUGGUGAUGUGUCAUUGAAGGUUAUACCUGCUCCCAAGUUCCUUCCUCACUUACUGCUUCCUGUCCAUAAGGUGAGCCCUCUCCUACUCAUGCUCCUGUUUCCAUGAUGUUGAUCCUUACAAGGAGCCCAGAAAAUGGAGCCAAGAGCCCAUGAGCAAAAUAAAUCAUUUCUCUUUUUGUUGUUUUAUCAGAAAUGGUGUUAGAGAAGUGAGAAAAUAAUAAGAGAGCAUACUGUCAAUGGCAAAAGUAACGGCAUGUAGAAUACAACACGAUGAGGACUUGUGUAACACACAUCUAACUCAACUCACAUUUAAAAGUGAAAAAAAAAGCCAGAGAAAGAUUUCUCAAGGAAAAUAAUGCCUGGGAAUCAAACUCAGGACUUCAGGCGAGGUGACACGAGCGUGAAGUUGCUGAGUCACCUCAUGCCCCACUUCUUGAGUGUCUUGUUCUUGAGUGUCUUUGUCCAUGUUCGUUUAUAUUGUUUAGAGAUCUGGUAGCAACUUUUUGACUAAAUUUAUUUUGAGUAAUUUUUUUCUUGCUCUUUUGUUUGUGAACAGGUGCUCUAUCACUGGGCUAUACCCGUAUCCUUGCCUUUUCACCUGUAACUUUUUUUUUACCUUCUAGUUAUUCUUCAAAGACUUUCUAAAGUUGGUAGAUGAAACUUCAUAUUUACAAAUUAUUUUUACAAGUGUUGCAUUUUUAAAAUGGGAUAAUGAGUAUAUAACAGAUGAGCCUUCUCCUUAAGAGUGACAGGUAAACAUAUUUUGAUAUAUGUGUGCAGAUGGUCCCCUUAAGACUGUUCAAUUUAGGGCUGGAGAGAUGGCUCAGUGGUUAAAAACACUGUCUAUUCUUUCAGAGGUCCUGAGUUCAAUUCCCAACAACCACAUGGUGGCUCACAACCAUCUGCAAUGGAAUCUGAUGGCCUCUUUCGGUGUGUCUGAAGACAGUAACAGUGUACUCACAUAAAAUAAAUACAUAAAUCUUUAAAAAAAAAAAAAA